rnacentral:rRNA from 1 species
GACGUAGGGGGCGAGCGUUGUCCGGAAUUACUGGGCGUAAAGAGCACGUAGGUGGUUCGUUAAGUUGGAUGUGAAAGCCCCAGGCUCAACCUGGGAACUGCAUCCAAAACUGGCGAGCUAGAGUACGGUAGAGGGUGGUGGAAUUUCCUGUGUAGCGGUGAAAUGCGUAGAAAUCAGGAGUAAUACCAGUGGCGAAGGCGACUGACUGGACUGACCCUGACGCUGAGGUGCGAAAGCGUGGGUAGCAAACAGG